UGAGAAGAGGGGGCAAAAAGCCAUUAUGUAUAUCCUAAAAGAAAAGGCAAACUCACCUAAACUGUACCUGUAUUGCUACUUUUUGAGAGAUGGGAAACUCGUCACAUCUAUUCCAAUUAGGCAACCAAACCCAUCUCUUUUCAAGGAAGAAAUAUGCUCUCUCCCUCUCCCUCUCCCUCUCCCUCUCCCUCUCCCUCUCCCUCCGCUUGGGCUACACAUAUAUGAAGUGCAAAGCUUAAAGAACUGGAGAGAGAGAGAAAGAGAGCUAUCACUUCGGAAAUAUGACGCUCAGAUCAUAUCAGCUGGUGGUUCAGUUGCUGAGGAGAGUGGUGCAUAAAUAGUGAAGGUAUUGGCGUGCCUCAAUCUAAAUACAUGGUUAGAUGAUAUCUAUUAGCCAAGUAAUUUGAUUGAGCCGCGUCAAUAUCUCUUUCUAGCUCCUCUCUCCUUUCCUCUUCUUCAUAAUUUCUUGGGAGGGGAAUCCAGAAAUGACAAAAUGGGAUCAGCUAGUCUGCCUCACUAUUCUUGGCCAUAGAACGUCCUGCAUAUCCGAAUGAAGACAGUCCAUCACCUCACUGGGAGGAUUCAACAUAACGUGCACCCCAAAUAAGAGGAAAUUGUAAGAUUAGCUAGCUAGCUAGCUUAUCUGCAACCAUAUUCACUUCCCUAUAGCAAUGACGGAUCCUCAAUUGCCAAGCCCUCCCUUUGAUCAACCAACUCUAAGGUGAGAGUACCAAAAUCCAUAUGAACUUGAGGGAAGAAAAUGAAAAGAGCAUUCAACUUGAUCUUGGGAAGGAUGGGGAUUUUCUGGUAUGUUUGGUCAUGGAGAAAAAUUUAUGGGAAAGUGAAACACAAAAGAAAUAAAAGUUUGGUGGGUCUUUACUAGCCUUUUAUUUAUAGACCACGACCUACCAGAUACCUAUCACUUUGCAGCGGUCAAAAGUUGUACUUUUGACCACCAAAAGUGCUUUGAUUAGCCUUCUAAACUUGACUUUAAAACGAACAAUUUAACUUCCACAAAUCACAUAAGACACUAUAUGAGACUAGGGUUAACAUACGAGAAGGACUUUCUAACCCUAAACUCCCACCAGUUCUUCGAUACGAGUUUCGAGACUCGUGGGUAUUACAUUCUCCCUCUUUAAGAACAUGCAUCCUCGAAUGUUAAUCAACUUAAGGAAGUUCAAAAUGGGAUAAGUUUAACAAAACUUAAUGAUUCCCAAUAGAACCUAAACCUUCAUCAUUGAAGGUCUUAUGUUAGAUUGUGUGACACCAAGGUCAUGCGAUACCUAUGCAAUUGCAUAGUAGUAUGCAAAGAACUUGAUCUAAUGCCAUUACAAUUAAAGGCAUAGACUCUACAUUGGGCCAUGGGGCACGUCUUGAUGGAUAUGAUGGGAUUCCCUUCUUUAAACUGGACUUCAAAUAAAAGAAACCUUUGUCUCUUCAUUAUCCCCACCCUUCUUUACUAGUGGGAGUUACAGUCAUAUCUAAAUUAUGCCACCCUGUACUUUGUUAUUUAAGGACUCCUAGAGGUUUAUUUACUUAAUUCUUCUUUAAGCAUUCUAUGACAUUGACAAUCCGACAAUUACACCAACUAUGCUCACCUUUUCCUAUACAGGAGCUAGCUGAUUCUUAGGAAUUAAAAUCUAGCCAGCCAACCAUCUCUAAUCUAUCUUGGCUUAGCUCCUCUACUACUUCCUUUUUGUCUCUUUUCUAUCUUGAUUCAUUCCUCUUCCUAGAAUUCUGGGAGAGAAGGUGUUCCACAUGGGAAAACCAACCUUUCUAGUAUCAUCAACUUAAACACCUUGAACAAUUCUAUCGCACCCUUUUGAGGUUUCUUCCUCAGUCAUUCUUUUCUUUUAAUAAUCAUUAUGUUUCUUAUUCCUUUCUUCCCUUCAGCGCUAUAAAACAUCCCACUACUUUCUUAUUGCACGGCUUUUCUUUAUUUUCACAAUUUCAGCUUGGCUACUUUCUUCCUUUAAAUUUCCUUGGAAAGUUCUCAACAUACUAUAGUUAUUAAACAUUGUCAUGGCUAACUUCCACUAAGAUAAACCACAUGUUCUUUCUCAAUGUCCUUGCUUAAAGUGGAUAUAAGUGUAACACCCCUUACCCGUCUAUAGUGAAGCCGAGCAAGGCAUGUCACACAGUGUGCUGGAGUACCUUAUCUUAUCUUAUUUUAAUUUCCAGUUAUUAAUUUGUUGAUUAAAAGGCUUUUAAGUGAAACUCAUACCAUUUAUGUCAUUUAUUAAAAUUUUGAUUUAAUUUGAAAUUUAAAAAAAUUUUACAGAAAAUCCGGCAUAGUACUAGUUAAAAAUUGAGAAAACAGUUCUUCGAAACCUGAUAAAAACACUCCCAAUAGACAUAUUAUGUCCUCAACUCCAAUGAACAUCAACACAAUUUCAUUAAUUCUUAAUAUUCUCAAACUCAAUUUCAUACAUUUCAUUCAUCACAUACUUAAGCUCAAUUUCAUGAAGAAAUACCCAAAUUUUAUUUAUAAACAAAAUUUACAACUAAUUACAUCAGUCUGUAAGUACAUGAGUUUAUCAUUUACAAGACAAAAACUAAUAUCUAUUACAAAAUGCAAAAUACAAAAUACGAAAGGAAGCCUAGUGGUCCUACCAAAAUGCACUAUAGUGGAGGUGACUCAGGACUCAACGCAGAUCUCUACUCUCACCCAGUCUGAGGUCUGCUGGGCUCUCUAUUUGUGUCUCUAGUACCUGCGCAUGGCAAAAAACAACACGCUAAGCAAUACAGCUUAGUGGUGCCAAUAUAAUGUAAAAGUAAACCAAAUAAAUAAAUAUGAAGACAUUAUGUUGAUAUACUAUGCAAACUGAAAUUUUUGGUAAUUAUUAAUAAUAUUAUUAAUUUAGUACUUUUUAUGUUCACUAAUUAGUAAUAAUUUAUUAAGACUUAUUUUAGUUGCCCAAGUAACCUAUAUCAGUCGACUGGACUAGAUAAAUGGGUAAACUGACAUUGGGUACCAAGUACCUCAAGCCGUCACACCAUCGAUCACAGAGUGUCUCUAGUUGUGCAACAGAACGACUAAUAAGCCAUAGUAAUAGACGGGCAUAAUACCGAGUUAUCAAGUGUAUCAAAAUGGCCAAAAGCCAUAUUAUCACAAUUGGCCAUUAAAACCAUAAAUCAUGGAAUGACAAAAUGUCAUAGGCAGUACUACAAAUCGGAACCCUAUUAGCAUGCCAACCUAUCCAAAGCAAUCAUACUAGGCAUACUAGGGCAUGUUAACAAAGUUAAUAGUUUAAUUCUUUGUAUUUGAUGCUUAGUGGUUACUAUUCACCUUACUAUUCAAGCAAAAAUAUUGACUUUUUCUUAAAUAAUAGGUAUGUUAAUUCUAAUUACACAAACAUACCACAUUUUGGAUGUUAUAUGUGUUGGCAUUAGUUGCCAAAUUCAAUUCAAAGUCCAAUGGAAGUUAUUUCAAAUUUUCAGUUUUGGUCACUUGGGUUUACUGUUCCAUUGGACCUUUCUACAGUAAAAAUUUGGCUAAACUCUCUUCAUCAAAGUUGUUCCUUAAUGUGUCUUCUUUAAUUCCCUUUUUGAAUCACUCAAUUUGAAGUUUUGUAGCUCAAGUUAUAGUCUUUUUCCCAUAACUAGCCGGAUUGGUUCAUUCCCAGAUUUUUAGGCAGAAUUUAGUUCUGGUAGUUUUUGUAACCUAAAUUUGGCUAGCAAUUUCAAUUGGUUAAGGUCAGAAUUUGAGUUUGUGUUCCUCAUGAAAGUUGUUCUACUAUGUCUAAGCUUUCUAUUGGUUUAAAAAUUAGGUCAUUUGAACCUUCCUACACAAAGUUAUAGCCAUAUGAACAAACACUAUUCAUUUGGUCAUUUUUACCCAGUCCAGAAUUGGUUGCCCAGAUUUAGUCAAUUUUUAGGUCAUCCUAAGUUAGUUUUCUAAGCAGGGUUUCUUCAUCAAAGUUGUGGCAUUAUGACCUUAGUUUCACCUUCAAUUAUCCUUGCACCAAUUGAAGCUACACAAACUAAGUUAUAGCUACCCAAACACACUGGACUCAAGUUUAGACUUACUAACACAACAGGGCAGCAUACCAAAUCCCUAAUCUAAUGUCACAAUUCACUUCAUUUUAUGGUCAAACCUUACCAAAUGGUCACUAAUUGACCAUUAAAAUAUUCAGUCACCAUUACAUGAGAAAAACCCUAAUUUUACUCAAAACCUUAAUUUCCAAAAUUCCAAUUCUUGCACUACACAUAUUCUUCAAUGUUCUAAUUACUAAAUUCAUGUCAAGGGGUCAAUCAAUUUCCAUUUUCAAUUCAUCUAAAUCAUCAAAGCCUUAACUUAUACAAGGCUGCCAAAAAUUCAAGCUAGUCAAACGUGCAUAAUUUGUUUCAAUUUUCACAAAUCCUAACUCAUUUCAAUGUUAUACCAAAGAAUAUAAUGAGAGAGAGAAAGGAAAUGGGCACUAACCUCUUAGAGCACAAUCUUGAGAUGACCAAUCUUCACUUUCUCUUAAUCUCUUGGCAGCCAAACACUUGAGCAAGGUUGGGUGACAAGUUCUUGUGAAGGAAUUUAUGAACUUUGGGGUGAGAAUUCAAGGAAUUAGCAAGGUUGAAGAACGACAACAAUGGAGGGAGGUGAGAGGUGUGUUUCGGCCAAAAGAAGGAAAUGAAGAAGAUGCAUAAAUUUUUGUUUAAUCUUAUCUCUUUUAUUGACUUUUAUGUGUAUUUAUUGAAUGGUAAUUGGUGGAUAAAUUUUUAAUGACAUCAUAAUGAUGUCAUAAUUGCAUUUUUACUUCAUUUGUUUUCA